UACGGAGGGUGCAAGCGUUAAUCGGAAUUACUGGGCGUAAAGCGCGCGUAGGCGGCUUGAUAAGUCGGAUGUGAAAGCCCUGGGCUCAACCUGGGAACUGCAUUCGAUACUGUCAAGCUAGAGUGUGGGAGAGGGUAGUGGAAUUCCCGGUGUAGCGGUGAAAUGCGUAGAUAUCGGGAGGAACAUCAGUGGCGAAGGCGACCGCCUGGCCCAACACUGACGCUGAGGUGCGAAAGCGUGGGUAGCAAACAGG
rnacentral:rRNA from 1 species